rnacentral:rRNA from 1 species
AGCAUUAUACCGUGAAACUGCGAAUGGCUCAUUAAAUCAGUUAUCGUUUAUUUGAUAGUACCUUACUACUUGGAUAACCGUGGUAAUUCUAGAGCUAAUACAUGCUAAAAACCCCAACUUCGGGAGGGGUGUAUUUAUUAGAUAAAAAACCAAUGCCCUUCGGGGCUCCUUGGUGAUUCAUAAUAACUUCUCAGAUCGCAUGGCCUUGCGCCGGCGACGGUUCAUUCAAAUUUCUGCCCUAUCAACUUUCGAUGGUAAGGUAUUGGCUUACCAUGGUUUCAACGGGUAACGGGGAAUUAGGGUUCGAUUCCGGAGAGGGAGCCUGAGAAACGGCUACCACAUCCAAGGAAGGCAGCAGGCGCGCAAAUUACCCAAUCCCGACACGGGGAGGUAGUGACAAUAAAUACUGAUACAGGGCUCUUUAGGGUCUUGUAAUUGGAAUGAGUACAAUUUAAACCUCUUAACGAGGAACAAUUGGAGGGCAAGUCUGGUGCCAGCAGCCGCGGUAAUUCCAGCUCCAAUAGCGUAUAUUAAAGUUGUUGCAGUUAAAAAGCUCGUAGUUGAACCUUUGGCCUGGCUGGCGGGUCCGCCUCACCGCGUGCACUCGUCCGGCCGGGCCUUUUCUUCUGGAGAACCGCAUGCCCUUCACUGGGUGUGUUGGGGACCAGGACUUUUACUUUGAAAAAAUUAGAGUGUUCAAAGCAGGCCUUUGCUCGAAUACGUUAGCAUGGAAUAAUAGAAUAGGACGUGCGGUCCUAUUUUGUUGGUUUCUAGGACCGCCGUAAUGAUUAAUAGGGACAGUCGGGGGCAUCAGUAUUCAAUUGUCAGAGGUGAAAUUCUUGGAUUUAUUGAAGACUAACUACUGCGAAAGCAUUUGCCAAGGAUGUUUUCAUUAAUCAGUGAACGAAAGUAAGGGGAUCGAAGACGAUCAGAUACCGUCGUAGUCUUAACCAUAAACUAUGCCGACUAGGGAUCGGGCGGUGUUACUAUUUUGACCCGCUCGGCACCUUACGAGAAAUCAAAGU